rnacentral:rRNA from 1 species
UGGGGAAUAUUGGACAAUGGGCGCAAGCCUGAUCCAGCCAUGCCGCGUGAGUGAUGAAGGCCCCUAGGGUUGUAAAAGCUCUUUCAGCGAGGAGGAUAAUGACGUUACUCGCAGAAGAAGCCCCGGCUAACUUCGUGCCAGCAGCCGCGGUAAUACGAAGGGGGCUAGCGUUGUUCGGAAUCACUGGGCGUAAAGCGCACGUAGGCGGACUUUUAAGUCAGGGGUGAAAUCCCGGGGCUCAACCUCGGAACUGCCUUUGAUACUGGAAGUCUGGAGUCCGAGAGAGGUGAGUGGAACUCCGAGUGUAGAGGUGAAAUUCGUAGAUAUUCGGAAGAACACCAGUGGCGAAGGCGGCUCACUGGCUCGGUACUGACGCUGAGGUGCGAAAAGCGUGGGGAGCAAAACGGGAUUAGAUACCCUGGUAGUCCACGCCGUAAAACGAUGGAAGCUAGCCGUCAGGGUGCAUGCAUCUUGGUGGCGCAGUUAACGCAUUAAGCUUCCCGCCUGGGGAGUACGGUCGCAAGAUUAAAAACUCAAAGGAAUUGACGGGGUCAUAGCUGUUUCCU